CGUAUCACCCAAGACAACUUUACGGAGUUGACGAUUGACGGAGCGAAGCGACGUCAAAGCGUUCAUUAAAGUCGAGUUGGCUUAGGGAUACGUUCGUUGGGUAGGGGAGCGUUCUGUAAGCCUGUGAAGGUGUGUCGUGAGGCAUGCUGGAGGUAUCAGAAGUGCGAAUGCUGACAUAAGUAACGAUAAAGCGGGUGAAAAGCCCGCUCGCCGGAAGACCAAGGGUUCCUGUCCAACGUUAAUCGGGGCAGGGUGAGUCGACCCCUAAGGCGAGGCCGAAAGGCGUAGUCGAUGGGAAACGGGUUAAUAUUCCCGUACUUGGUGUUACUGCGAAGGGGGGACGGAGAAGGCUAUGUUGGCCGGGCGACGGUUGUCCCGGUUUAAGCGUGUAGGUGUGUGUUCCAGGUAAAUCCGGUUCACUUUAACACUGAGGCGUGACGAC
rnacentral:rRNA from 1 species